AGGGUCCGAGUUGUAAUUUGUAGAGGAUGUUUCGGGCACGGUUACGGUUUAAAUUUCUUGGAACAGAAUGUCAAAGAGGGUGAGAGUCCCGUCUUGAACCGAUUACUUCGUCCAUGUGAAACUCCUUCGACGAGUCGAGUUGUUUGGGAAUGCAGCUCAAAAUGGGUGGUAAAUUUCAUCUAAAGCUAAAUAUUGGCCAGAGACCGAUAGCGCACAAGUAGAGUGAUCGAAAGAUGAAAAGCACUUUGAAAAGAGAGUUAAACAGUAUGUGAAAUUGUUGAAAGGGAAGCGCUUGCAAUCAGACUUGAGCUUAACGGUUCCCCCUUCGUUCUCGAUGGGUUAUUCCGUUUUGUCCAGGCCAACAUCAGUUCGGGUGGUUAGUUAAAGACUUUAGGAAUGUAUCUACCCUCCGGGGUCGACUUAUAGCCUAGAGUGUCAUGUAGCCUACCUGGACUGAGGAACGCGCUUCGGCUCGGAUGUUGGCGUAAUGGUUGUAAGCGACCCGUCUUGAAACACGGACCAAGGAGUCUAACAUCUAUGCGAGUUUUAGAGUUUCAAACUCUGAGGCGUAAUGAAAGUGAACGGAGGUAAGAAGCCUUUAGGCUGCAUUAUCGACCGAUCUUGAUGUCUUCGGAUGGAUUUGAGUAAGAGCAUAGCUGUUGGGACCCGAAAGAUGGUGAACUAUGCCUGAAUAGGGUGAAGCCAGAGGAAACUCUGGUGGAGGCUCGCAGCGGUUCUGACGUGCAAAUCGAUCGUCAAAUUUGGGUAUA
rnacentral:rRNA from 1 species